UACGUAGGUGGCAAGCGUUGUCCGGAUUUACUGGGUGUAAAGGGUGCGCAGGCGGAUCUUUAAGUAGAAAGUGAAAGGUUGGAGCUCAACUCCGACACUGCUUCCUAUACUGGGGAUCUUGAGUCUUGGAGGGGGAAGCGGAACGACACGUGUAGCGGUGAAAUGCGUUGAUAUGUGUCGGAACACCAAUGGCGAAAGCAGCUUCCUGGACAAGUACUGACGCUCAGGCACGAAGCCAAGGUAGCAAACAGGAUUAGAUACC
rnacentral:rRNA from 1 species